rnacentral:rRNA from 1 species
AAAAACAUGUCUUUUUGAUUAUAAUUUAAAGUCUAAUCUGCCCACUGAUUAAAAAUUAAAGGGCUGCAGUAUAUUGACUGUACAAAGGUAGCAUAAUCAUUAGUCUUUUAAUUGAAGACUUGUAUGAAGGAUUUGAUGAAAUAUAAACUGUCUCUUAUUUAAAAUUAAAAUUUAAUUUUUUAGUAAAAAAGCUAAAAUAUUUUUAAAAGACGAGAAGACCCUAUAGAGUUUUAUAAUUAAUUUAAUUAAUUAUUUAUGUAAAUUUUAGUUAAAAAUUAGAGUAAUUAUUUAGUUGGGGUGAUUAAAAAAUUUAAUAAACUUUUUUUAUAAAUUUACAUUAAUUAAUGAAUAAAUGAUCCAUAAUUUAUGAUUAUAAGAAUAAAUUACCUUAGGGAUAACAGCGUAAUUUUUUUUUUUAGUUCUAAUAAGAAAAAGAGUUUGCGACCUCGAUGUUGGAUUAAGAUAAAAAUUAAAUGCAGAAGUUUAAAAUUUUUGAUCUGUUCGAUCAUUAAAAUCUUACAUGAUCUGAGC